GCUGCGGUUUGUCCAUACCUGUGUGUGUGUAUAUAUAUAUAUAUACACACACACACAUACACACACAUAUAUUUGUUAGUU
rnacentral:miRNA from 1 species